AGUUGUGGCCUGAGAAUUUAUCAAGACCAAUUAUGAGACCCAUGUAUCUGUUAACUGGUCGCACAACUUGUGCAAGUGUUUUAAACAGUUCAAUACACUUGCACACCUGUUGGAGACCGAUGGAGAGUGAUGGUGACUGAGAGGGUCGUUUUUCCGACCAUGGAGACCUCAUUGAGACCAGCCUGCAACCCAGUGGGAGUCAAUGGGA